rnacentral:misc_RNA from 1 species
AAGUCGUAACAAGGUUUCCGUAGGUGAACCUGCGGAAGGAUCAUUAACAACAUAUCCUAACUAAAAAACCCUGUGAACUCAGAGACCUCUGAAAUAACCUAGCGUGGUUGGGUGAGGUAAGGCAAGUGACCUGGUACCCUCAAGACCAGUGUUCAAUGAUCUGUCAGCGUUCAUUGACUGGAAUCAAACGUUCUGUCAGUGUGCGUUUGGUUUGCAACGCUGGAGGCCGACACGGCCGGCGACCGGGUCAGUGAGCUCUGCUCCCGCUGUUACGUCAAACCCCAUGUUCCCCUCUAGUGAAAGCUAUUGGGUUAUAACUAAACGACUGUUAACAAUGGAUAUCUCGAUUCUC